rnacentral:lncRNA from 1 species
AAGGCUCCAGUAAAGCCUUGUUUAGUUCCCAAAAAGUUUUGCAAUUUUUUUAAAAUUUUCCAUCACAUCAAAUCUUACGGUACAUACAUAAAGUAUUAAAUACAAUAAAUAAAAACAAUAACUAAUUAUACAGUUUGCCUGUAAUUUGCGAGACAAAUCUUUUAAAUCUAGUUAAUCUAUGAUUAGAUAAUAUUUAUCAAAUACAAACAAAAACGCUACAGUAUUCAUUUUGCCAAAAAAAAAAUUAGAACUCAACAAGGCCUAACAUCUUUGCUAAUAUUUCCCUGGACGCGGACGCUGCUAAUAUUUCAGUCUGCAGUGAGCGGUCAGGUUCAGAGUUGAGACUCCUCCGAUCCCUAACAAAAAAAAACAAGUAGCCCUGUUUAGAUUGGAGAUGAAAAAAUUUUGAGUGUCACAUCGGAUAUGUCGAAAAAAUAUCGGGAGAGGUUUUUAGAAACUAAAAAAAAACAAAUUACAUAGCUCAUCUGGAAACUACAAGAUAAAUCUAUUAAGCAUAAUUAAUCUGUCAUUAGCACAUAUGGAUUACUGUAGCACUUAAGGCUAAUCAUGGACUAACUAGGCUUAAAAGAUUCGUCUUGCAAUUUUCAACCAAACUGUGUAAUUAGUUUAUUUUAUUAUCUAUAUUUAAUUUUCCAUGCAUGUGUCCAAAGAUUCGAUGAGAUGGAUGAAAAUUUUUUGAGUGGGGAACUAAAUAACCCAAUUUUUUUACAAAUUGACCUCUUUUUUGAAGAAAGUUCACAUUUAGACCCCUGCAUGACUUAAAUCC